rnacentral:rRNA from 1 species
CGAGUUUGAUCCUGGCUCAGAUUGAACGCUGGCGGCAGGCCUAACACAUGCAAGUCGAGCGGAUGAGUGGAGCUUGCUCCAUGAUUCAGCGGCGGACGGGUGAGUAAUGCCUAGGAAUCUGCCUGGUAGUGGGGGACAACGUUUCGAAAGGAACGCUAAUACCGCAUACGUCCUACGGGAGAAAGCAGGGGACCUUCGGGCCUUGCGCUAUCAGAUGAGCCUAGGUCGGAUUAGCUAGUAGGUGAGGUAAUGGCUCACCUAGGCGACGAUCCGUAACUGGUCUGAGAGGAUGAUCAGCCACACUGGGACUGAGACACGGCCCAGACUCCUACGGGAGGCAGCAGUGGGGAAUAUUGGACAAUGGGCGAAAGCCUGAUCCAGCAAUGCCGCGUGAGUGAUGAAGGCCUUCGGGUUGUAAAGCUCUUUUACUCGGGACGAUAAUGACGGUACCGAGAGAAUAAGCCCCGGCUAACUCCGUG